UAAGUGAAAGUGAAAGUUUGAGGCUCAACCUCGAAACUGCUUUUCAAAACUACUAAACUUGAGUAUGUGAGAGGUAAUUGGAAUUCCUAGUGUAGGAGUGAAAUCCGUAGAUAUUAGGAGGAACACCAAUGGCGAAGGCAGAUUACUGGCACAUUACUGACGCUAAGGCACGAAAGCGUGGGGAGCGAACUGGGAUUAGAUACCCAGGUAGUCCACGCUGUAAACGAUGGAUGCUA
rnacentral:rRNA from 1 species